GGAUGUGAGGGCGAUCUGGCUGCGAAAUGUGUCACCCCAUUGAUUGCCAGGGUUGAUUUGGCUGAUUUGGCUUGCCUAGGCAAGGCUCUCCUUCCUCCAUCAACAUUCCACGUGCCACCCUCCAACCCUCCGACCCUCCAACCCUCUGACCCUCCCUGUCUCUUGGAGAGAACUCCCACCCCCAGGAGAGGAGCACUGGAGCCUUAAAGCCUCUAGGGCAGAUUGAGUGUGUGGCACUGAGCCAGAACUGGGGUAUUGCUAAUGUUAGGCAAGCACUCUAGCUACCCUAACCUCUGGAGGAGAAUUUUUUUGCUUC
rnacentral:sRNA from 1 species